rnacentral:rRNA from 1 species
AACGAACGCUGGCGGCAUGCCUAACACAUGCAAGUCGAACGAAGCCUUCGGGCUUAGUGGCGCACGGGUGCGUAACGCGUGGGAAUCUGCCCUUGGGUUCGGAAUAACAGUUAGAAAUGACUGCUAAUACCGGAUGAUGUCUUCGGACCAAAGAUUUAUCGCCCAAGGAUGAGCCCGCGUAGGAUCAGGUAGUUGGUGGGGUAAUGGCCCACCAAGCCGACGAUCCUUAGCUGGUCUGAGAGGAUGAUCAGCCACACUGGGACUGAGACACGGCCAGACUCCUACGGGAGGCAGCAGUGGGGAAUAUUGGACAAUGGGCGAAAGCCUGAUCCAGCAAUGCCGCGUGAGUGAUGAAGGCCUUAGGGUUGUAAAGCUCUUUUACCAGGGAUGAUAAUGACAGUACCUGGAGAAUAAGCUCCGGCUAACUCCGUGCCAGCCGCCGCCGUAACAC